rnacentral:rRNA from 1 species
AAUGAACGCUGGCGGCAGGCCUAACACAUGCAAGUCGAGCGAGUGGCGGACGGGUGAGUAAUGUCUGGGAAACUGCCUGAUGGAGGGGGAUAACUACUGGAAACGGUAGCUAAUACCGCAUACCAUCAGAUGUGCCCAGAUGGGAUUAGCUUGUGGGUGGGGUAACGGCUCACCUAGGCGACGAUCCCUAGCUGGUCUGAGAGGAUGACCAGCCACACUGGAACUGAGACACGGUCCAGACUCCUACGGGAGGCAGGAGUGGGGAAUAUUGCACAAUGGGAGCAAGCCUAGUCCAGCCAUGCCGCGUAUAUGAAGAAGGCCUUCGGGUUUUAAAGUACUUUCAGCGGGGAGGCGUUACUCGCAGAAGAAGCACCGGCUAACUCCGUGCCAGCAGCCGCGGUAAUAC